GGGGGAUUAGCUCAGCUGUCUAGAGCGAUAUGCUGGCAGCUUAUAGGUCAUUGGUUCGACUCCGAUAUUCUCCA
rnacentral:tRNA from 1 species